UCUUCCUUCCACAUUUGAUAUCUUCACAUUCAUGUUUGAAUUCUCUCCCCUAAUCACAUUUAUAUCCUGUCAAAAACCCUUGAUGGCCUCGAUCAAAGUGUUUAAGUUUUCCCCACUUGUGAUAGGAUGGAUCUCAUCUUACGGUUCCAUGGUACCUAUCAACAAGACACUCAAUAAAAAUAAAAAACAAGGUUAACAUUAGUAAAAGCAAAACUCACAACCAAUAGUGUGUUCACACUUUGAUUGCCUCAUAGUAAGCUUAAGUAGAACUUUUCUUAUCCCCAUUGGUAUACAAAGUUAAAAAAAAUUCCUCAUCUUGGCUAAUAUAGGUUCUUGAUAAAAGAAGAAUGUAUGACUCGAUUAAAACUAAAGGACUUGAAUCAAAAAAGUUAACUAAGAAAUAAAAGAUAAAAGAACACAAAGAAAAUGAUAAGAAAAAAAUGGACUCAAGUGUAAUUGAAAGCCAAGUAAGAUCAAUUACUAGUUGAGUAUUAGUUUAGGAAUCAAGAGAAUGAAACUAAGAUGAUAAAGCCUGAGAUUGAUUCGAUAAAAUAAAG
rnacentral:lncRNA from 1 species